UACAGUGGGUGCGAGCGUUAAUCGGAAUUACUGGGCGUAAAGCGUGCGUAGACGGUUAUUUAAGUCAGAUGUGAAAGCCCCGGGCUCAACCUGGGAAUUGCAUUUGAGACUGAAUAGCUAGGGUGCGGUAGAGGGAAGCGGAAUUUCCGGUGUAGCGGUGAAAUGCGUAGAUAUCGGAAGGAACAUCAGUGGCGAAAGCGGCUUCCUGGACCAGCACCGACGUUCAGGCACGAAAGCGUGGGGAGCAAACAGG
rnacentral:rRNA from 1 species